CGUGGGCAGGCGGCGGCGGCCGCCAGGUCCGGUCGCGGUACGGGGUCGCGCUCCCCUUCCCUCUCCUCCCUUCGCCGGCCGAGGCCUGCUCCGUCAGCCAGAGCCCGCGGCCCGGCGCCAGGGAGAUCGCACCGCCGAGGGUGACGGGCGAGCUCUGGGCAGAGCCGCCCCGCAGCCUGCGCUCGCGCCCGGCCGGAGGAACCCCUCGCCGGGCGGUCGGCUGGCCAACCCGCGGGCCUCUGCUGGCGCCGCCGCCGCCGGGUGACCGCCCGGGCCGGUGACCAGCGGGUGUCCGGAGCGCCAGGAGCUCCAGUGCUGUCUGCUCCACAUGCCUUCCGACCGUGCCCUCUCCUUUAUUUGCAAGUCUCCCUGCAUUCUCCUUUCACACACCGAGACCUGCUGCCUGAGUUGCUGCCCUGCCCGAUCUUCACCUCAGUGCACGUUGGACCUCUUGUUGUCUUAAGCAUCUUGCCUUUUAUCUUCUGUGGAAGGGGACUUUGAAGUAAAGUUUCACUUGUCCAUAGUGUGAUGUGUCCAUGAGCUGAACUUAUUCUGGUGACAGGGUAGUCCUCUGAGGACCAAAAACUUGGAAGAGAAACAGUCUGACCUGAUUUGUCCAUUUCAGUGAUGUAUUUCUAAGGAAAUAGCUUGGAGUCAGCUUCUUGGUGCUUACAUGGUCCUGUACGCCCUUGGUCCUGUGCUGCAUUAGAAUGGGAUGGAUGGCUGGACACGGCAGGGACUGAGGCAUAGGCCAUUCAGAGACCCAGCAGAGGAUGCGUCGCUCCCUGGAGUUCACAAGCAUUUCCUUUUCCCAUUGCAGUAAGACAAGCACAAGCUAGCUCUUGACUUCACUUUUUUGUCAGUGAAUGCUGAUGUUAGAUUACAUCAGGGGAAAGCAUGAGGCUUGGCCAGGUGGCUGCCAGCCUGUUCAGCCCCAACUUAGGCCAUGCUGGAGGCUGAUGUGCUUCCCACUAUGCUCAGACUGUAUUGGGGUCCUCCUUGCUGCCUGCAACAGGACUGCAUCAACUCUGCAGUCCCCUAGCACUGCGGCACAGCUGUUUUGUUGGAUGAGCAUGGGGCUAUCAGAGGCAAAAGGGAGCAGAGCGUAGUCCCUUACUUCUCUGGAAGGCAUGACUUUUCUCAACCUAGCAUGCUCCCUGCAGUGUUACUCUGGCUUCUUACGGUCAGUCAGCUGUCUCUCUCCUGGCAGCACAUCCACUUGCCCUGGCCCAAGAAGGAAGGGGAGAAAAAGUGCAUUGAAACCAACAGCAGCUUCUGGAUUCGUUAGUCAGCUCUCUUCAUGAAUCACACCUGCUUUAGUGGGGCACCAUUAGGCCUUUGAGUAUGGAAGGAGCAGGCAGGGUGUGAGGAAGGAUGGAGGCUGCAAGCGGAAGCUCCAAGGAGUGAGUGGAGUUACCUGAGCAGGUUGUUCAGCGGGCGGGACAUGGGCUGGGCUGGGCUGCUUGGAUCUGUAGUGGGGUCUUGGGUGCAGGUUUGUGGUUACCUGUGCGUGUUGCGAGAGGUUCCUGAUGGGUAGUGUGUGGAGGAGAUGGGAUGCUGUGUGUAUGCAUCUGGGCUGCUGGGUACGUCGUGGUGCUGAGGGGAGUGUCCGUGCUUGCCUGCAGGAUUACUGCACAGUGCCUUUCUCCAUGGUGGUGUCUGCCUUGUCAGCCGUACCAGUGUUCAUGGAGAAGUGUGCAUGCACCAAUGUCUGCAUGUGGAGGAGGAGGCUGUUAUGCCUUCGGUACCCUACCCAUCCCGCUUUCCCUGGUCGUGGUGUCCGUCUGUCAGACAGGUGGAGAAGUUAACUCUCUAUGGGUGGGUUUAUGUGCCUGUGUUCGUGCUGGCGGUGAGGCAGAGCUGCUCCCUCACUGUGCCUACGCCAGGGGUGCAGGAUGUCUCUGCCUGCAUGCAUGUGCCUGCAUGCACUUGCAUCCUUUAUGGUGCAGGGGGCUCUUCCCCUGAUUCUGUGUGCCUGUGGAGGUGUUCUGGGGUCUUCAGAGCAGGUUUUUCCAGGUCCUCUACGGCUAUUUUUGCUUCCACGGAGCCUGGAAUCCCUGAAAUGCUCUGGGCACCUCUGUCGGGCAGUUCCAACGGCCUGUGGUGGGACACUUGUGGCUCUGCGGUAGUGUGAUCUCUCUCUGUCACUUUGCCAGGCUCUCUGGGGCUUUUACUCACUUUUGAGCUCUGUUCUCGGUGUGGGGGAGCUCAUUUGGGGUCUGCAGGGCAGUUCCUACCACUGCGCUGCCACAUUUAGGCAGGUGCAGGGGUGAUCUUGGGUGCUUGAUGCUUUUGGUGGUUCCCCGGGGCCAUGGCAGGGUGCCUUGAGGUCUUUGCCGUGUUUUUUGGACAGCUUGGCGAUGCCCAAAGCUGGUAUGUCUUGGGAGAGUUGUUUUAGAGUCUUUGAGUUCCUUCCCACAGGUUUGCUGAGCAGGCAGCCUGUCCCUGGGACACCGCGCAGGGGCAGCAGGAAGCGGGGCAGCACACUGCGACUCGGGCUGAGAGCGCUCCUACGCACGCGUAAGUGAGCAGAGCUCCUCGGAGCGCUGCGGUGGUACCGCCGCCGGCCGUCCCCUCCCGGGCCACCGCUUCGCCGGCCCCGCUCCGCUGCGUGACGUGCGGCCCGGCCGGCUCAGGCCUCGCCCGUGCGCCGCGCCCCCUGGUGGCGGGCAGCGGCACUGCAGACCACCGGGUGGCGCACGCGCGUUUUCACGGAGGGCGCCCGGUGGUGCCCCCUCUCGUUUGCGCUCGGGUACUGCCGGUGGUCGCAUUGCGCAUGCGGCAUGUCAUCUGAUUGGCUCGCUUCGCCACGUGAUUUUUGCGGCAUGCGCAGUGCGCGUGGUCGCGCGCACCGCUGCGUGCCCGCGUGCGGGGCGGCCGGCCGGUGUGCCCGUGUGGCGCUGGUUUGGCGCCGGCGCCCGUACGCGUGCGCGUUCCGGUGCCAGGGCGGCCGCCGGCCGUGCCCGUAUGCGCAGUGCAGCGGGCGGGCGCUGGGAGGUGGCGGCCGCGCCCGGUGGCCGCCGGCGCCGCUCGUCCUUGCUGGUCGGCGUGCUCCCUGCUGCCGUUCUGCCUUAGAAGAAACGCGGCCGGGCCGCGCCGUGCUGCCCCGGCGACGGGAGCGCGGGUUGGUGCUGCUCGCCUAAGGUCGGAGCCCUUCACGUGCGAUUGCCUGUGGCUUAGGGCUGUCUUUUGGUCCCUUUUUUUUGGUAGUAACAGGCGAUUUUCCUAAUGUCGCGACACCAACAAAACAGGAAUAUAAACAGCACUUGCAGCGUGAAUCACCACGUUGACGUUCAUAGUUUAUGUGUGCUGCAUUUUUAAAGGCAAUGAACUAAUCUGUUUAGUCUGUUGCUUUUUAAAGAGUUGUAUGUUUUGUGUUCUACAGUGAUGAAUCUUGAAAAUAAUGAUGUGUGUCCGAUAGUAAUAUCGGUAGUGAAAAUUUUGGAAGUUUUCUCUGUAAUCUUUGGUGCUGAAUUACGGACGUGUUUAAAAACUAUUGACAAACCAUUUUGUGGAGAAGGAAAAAAACACAUAGCAAAGAAAUGUACCUAUGUGUGAAAUUCUCAGGUAGGGUAGCUCGCUAUAAGACAAAUCAUUAGGUAAUCACUUGAACCAUAGAUCAUCAUACAUUGCAGUCACAUGGAAGUAACACACUUGUUCUUCACAAAAUUCUUUUUGUGAGGAAUUCUAAGCAAAGUUUUCUGUAUCUUAUUAAAGCAAGUCAACCGCAAAUACAAAUAUUUAAUUAUUUAUUAACUAUGUAAUAUACAGAGAUAUAUAUUUUACACCAAUAUUUUAAAAUGGAAGAUAAUAAAAUUAAUGUAGUUGACUAGAGAUGACUAUUUGGAAGACGUCAGAAGGGAAACCUGACCUUUUUAAGUAUUAAUCCUUGUGCUAUAUACGCUAUCUAGAAACUGGAUACAUGAAAAUUGUAUUGUAGUGAGACUGCAGUAUGGCACCUUGCUGAAUUCACAAUAUGCAUAGAAGCAAACUAAAUUGAUUUUUCAAGAUUCAUUUUGGUAUUUGGCAAAAUUGUUAAUUUGUGCAAUAAUGUGAUUUUUAAUGUGAAUGCCAUUAUGUUCUCACAAUUAUUUUAGCCUGGAGAAUAAUAGAUUAAAAUAGUGAUUUCUCAGGGUUUUUACAGUUAGGAGCUGUAAUUUAACCAAAAGUGUGCUAAUUACAAGUAGAUCCCAAGCUGCAUCUUACAGGCUUAUUAUUAGUCUUCUUUGAGUAGCAGAUUAUUAAAGACAUACUUGUUUUGUUCUAUAUUGCCAUUCAAGUAUGUAGUAUAUAGGUGGUAAUAUUAUUAGUGUCACAUUAUACUUGUGAGACUGUGGUCACCAUCAGACCCUAAAUAAAUAUGGAAUUUUUACUCAUAUUAAUUUAUGGAAGCCGUUAAUGUUUUGAGUGUACAGACAGAAAUGAUUUUGUGAAUGAAAUUGUUCUUAAUGCAAAGCAUUAUUUUUAAUGCGUACUGACUUAAUUGUAGUUAACUGUUUAAAAUUGUUAAUGCUUUUCUAUACUGUAGCGUUUAUGCAGUGGUUUAUCGAAGUCAUGUAAUUAUUUUUAUUAACA